rnacentral:rRNA from 1 species
AGAGUUUGAUCCUGGCUCAGGACGACGCUGGCGGCACGCUUAACACAUGCAAGUCGAACGAGAGAAGAGGAGCUUGCUUUUCUGAUCUAGUGGCGGACGGGUGAGUAACACGUGAGCAAUCUGCCUUUCAGAGGGGGAUACCGAUUGGAAACGAUCGUUAAUACCGCAUAACAUAAUUGAACCGCAUGAUUUGAUUAUCAAAGAUUUAUCGCUGAAAGAUGAGCUCGCGUCUGAUUAGCUAGUUGGUAAGGUAACGGCUUACCAAGGCGACGAUCAGUAGCCGGACUGAGAGGUUGAUCGGCCACAUUGGGACUGAGACACGGCCCAGACUCCUACGGGAGGCAGCAGUGGGGAAUAUUGCACAAUGGAGGAAACUCUGAUGCAGCGAUGCCGCGUGAGGGAAGAAGGUUUUAGGAUUGUAAACCUCUGUCUUCAGGGACGAAAAAAGACGGUACCUGAGGAGGAAGCUCCGGCUAACUACGUGCCAGCAGCCGCGGUAAUACGUAGGGAGCGAGCGUUGUCCGGAAUUACUGGGUGUAAAGGGAGCGUAGGCGGGAUCGCAAGUCAGAUGUGAAAACUAUGGGCUUAACCCAUAAACUGCAUUUGAAACUGUGGUUCUUGAGUGAAGUAGAGGUAAGCGGAAUUCCUAGUGUAGCGGUGAAAUGCGUAGAUAUUAGGAGGAACAUCAGUGGCGAAGGCGGCUUACUGGGCUUUAACUGACGCUGAGGCUCGAAAGCGUGGGGAGCAAACAGGAUUAGAUACCCUGGUAGUCCACGCCGUAAACGAUGAUUACUAGGUGUGGGGGGACUGACCCCUUCCGUGCCGCAGCAAACGCAAUAAGUAAUCCACCUGGGGAGUACGACCGCAAGGUUGAAACUCAAAGGAAUUGACGGGGGCCCGCGCAAGCAGUGGAGUAUGUGGAUUAAUUCGAAGCAACGCGAAGAACCUUACCAGGUCUUGACAUCGUAUGCAUAGCUCAGAGAUGAGUGAAAUCUCUUCGGAGACAUAUAGACAGGUGGUGCAUGGUUGUCGUCAGCUCGUGUCGUGAGAUGUUGGGUUAAGUCCCGCAACGAGCGCAACCCUUACUGUUAGUUGCUACGCAAGAGCACUCUAGCAGGACUGCCGUUGACAAAACGGAGGAAGGUGGGGAUGACGUCAAAUCAUCAUGCCCCUUAUGACCUGGGCCUCACACGUACUACAAUGGCUGUCAACAGAGGGAAGCAAAGCCGCGAGGUGGAGCGAACCCCUAAAAGCAGUCUUAGUUCGGAUUGUAGGCUGCAACCCGCCUACAUGAAGUCGGAAUUGCUAGUAAUCGCAGAUCAGCAUGCUGCGGUGAAUACGUUCCCGGGCCUUGUACACACCGCCCGUCACGCCAUGGGAGUCGGUAACACCCGAAGCCUGUAGUCUAACCGCAAGGAGGACGCAGUCGAAGGUGGGAUUGAUGACUGGGGUGAAGUCGUAACAAGGUA